UUCCGUAGGUGAACCUGCGGAGGGAUCAUUACAGAGUUGCAAAACUCCCACAAACCAUCGCGAAUCUUACCCGUACGGUUGCCUCGGCGCUGGCGGUCCGGGAAAGGCCCUCGGGCCCUCCCGGAUCCUCGGGUCUCCCGCUCGCGGGAGGCUGCCCGCCGGAGUGCCGAAACUAAACUCUUGAUAUUUUAUGUCUCUCUGAGUAAACUUUUAAAUAAGUCAAAACUUUCAACAACGGAUCUCUUGGUUCUGGCAUCGAUGAAGAACGCAGCGAAAUGCGAUAAGUAAUGUGAAUUGCAGAAUUCAGUGAAUCAUCGAAUCUUUGAACGCACAUUGCGCUCGCCAGUAUUCUGGCGAGCAUGCCUGUUCGAGCGUCAUUUCAACCAUCAAGCUCUGCUUGCGUUGGGGAUCCGCGGCUGUCCGCGGUCCCUCAAAAUCAGUGGCGGGCUCGCUAGUCACACCGAGCGUAGUAACUCUACAUCGCUAUGGUCGUGCGGCGGGUUCUUGCCGUAAAACCCCCCAUUUCUAAGGUUGACCUCGGAUCAGGUAGGAAUACCCGCUGAACUUAAGCAUAUCAAUAAGCCGGAGGA
rnacentral:rRNA from 1 species